rnacentral:rRNA from 1 species
CUGUUUGGGAUCGGGGGAAAUAGGUGCGCGGGGUCGACGAACUGCGGAGGGAGGGGCAGGAGGACGUAGAGGGAAGUGAGGGAGCGGCCGGCGACGGCAGCGGUGAGGUGGAGGGAGGAGGGCCUAGUCUACGUCCAGUAGCGGGACCCCCUCGUCCCGCCGCGCCAGAAGUACUGUCCCAACGUCCCCGGCCCUGACACUCCUCCGAUUGCCGCCCACGUACAUAACGUCCUAUCUCCUCUCCGGCCACACCCCGCGUUCCUCGUCGUCCCUGUCUUGCCACGAGCGAGCGGCUUACAACCGGGAGCCUACUUAAGCUGCGAAAUUAGCUCGACUGCUCGGGGUACGAUGUUCCCCACUCUGUGCCUAUUUUUAUGCUCUUCCUCGUACGGUAGCUCCUCACGUUCGUCGCCCUGAGGAGGCGUUACCCCAUACCGACGUCCCUUCCCCUGCGCCGGUUGCUGUGCUUCUUCCUCGUCCAGCAGCUCCUGAUGUUCGUCGUCCUAAUAAAAACCGGGUAUGUCAAAGGAAACUGAUCUUCAGACUUUGACUUCUAUCCCAUAACAAAACCAAGACUCACCGGCCUCUAUAACACCGAACUACAGGGAUCUCGUCAGCCUGGGAAGGUUCUAUCUUCUAGAAACCCUAACUGCAAGACUACUCUUUCAUCGUAUGUCUACCUACCUGUACUUGAUAAGUCACCAGCUCGAUGCGAUAUAAAGAAAGUAACUCCGCUCCCACUAAGGUCAUCUAAAACGAACCGCAUGAGCGGAAAAAAGAACUUCAACCCACAGGCAGAAGAGAUGUCGUUCCUAGACCCCUCAGCCUAACACCUAAUGUACAUCACCCCUUCAUCUCUCCCCCUGCUCCUUCUCCUGUGGCAGCCACCGCACGAUAUAGAGUGAUCCGCCGUUACACCUCUCCCACGGACCGUAGUUCUUGGGCUGUACGAAAAGGCUCACAAGCAACUCUAGAUACAACAGCGCCGUUGUGUCCGGUUACGUGUAAGUCCUUUAUACAGUGGUUGAAGGGGUUCCAGGGCGUAGCAGAUGAGUC